rnacentral:rRNA from 1 species
AGUUAACGCUGGCGGCGUGCCUAACACAUGCAAGUCGAGCGAAGUAACUGGCGUAGCAAUACGAUAAGUGCUGAGCGGCAGACGGGUGAGUAAUACGUAGACAACCUUCCUCUUUAAGGGGGAUAGCCCACCGAAAGGUGGGGUAAUACCGCGUACGAUCGAGAGUCGGCAUCGAUUCUUGAUGAAACAUCCGCAAGGAUGGUAGAGAGACGGGUCUACGGCCUAUCAGCUAGUUGGUGAGGUAACGGCUCACCAAGGCAAAGACGGGUAACCGGCCUGAAAGGGUGGACGGUCACACUGACACUGAGACACGGGUCAGACACCUACGGGUGGCAGCAGUGAGGAAUCUUGGACAAUGGGGGGCAACCCUGAUCCAGCGACGCCGCGUGAAGGAUGAAGGUCUUCGGAUUGUAAACUUCUUUUCUCUGGGAAUAAUAAAUCGAUAGAAUAUCGAGAUUGAAUGUACCAGA